GUUUUUUGUUUUGAGCACUUUUUAGGGGUUAGGGUUUUGCACUUAAUUGGAUGGGGCUAUUUUGUUGCCCCCUAUUUUCCCAUUUAUUUGUUUUGAGCACUUUUUAAUUCUUGUUUUGCACUAAAUUGGAUGGUACAUACACAUCAAUAAAGGAACAACUAUAUUGCACAUCAUCGUCACGAAUAUAUUACACCAUCUCAUCC
rnacentral:lncRNA from 1 species